rnacentral:misc_RNA from 1 species
GACGAGAUUCCUGGAACAAAAAGACCAGCUGAGGAGCCUUCGGAAAAAAUACCAGUUCCGGAAGUUCAGAUUCCCGACUUGAUUGAUACAGGUGAUCCAGAUGAUUACACUAGUGAAACUUCUUACAAUAAACAGGCCGAGCAAAGGAGUGACAAACUAACAUCAACUGGUUCUUUGGUUGAUGAUCUGUUUGGAAGUGACCCUAUUGAUGGUCAAAACACCAAAGGAGAUGAUGAUGAACAUGAUCCAUUUGCUGAUGUAUCAUUCCAUGUGAGCCAAGACAAAGAGCAA